rnacentral:lncRNA from 1 species
AGAAACUAGGUUCGGCCAUCUCCCAAGUUCAAAUUCAAGGUUCGUUUUUAGUCGGUUUUUGAUAAUUUUUAUAUUUUUGAGAUCGUUACUUCGAGUACUAUAAAACCCAUGUUUAAAUUUUUAAUUUUGAUGAAUAUUUUGAGUUAUGCCAUUGAUGAGAGCUUGUGAUUUUUAUUGUUUGAUGGUGAAAUAUGAAAGAUAAGUGUUGGGUUAAUAUAUUUUAUAUUGGAAUUUUUGAUGAUUUUGAGUAAUUAGGACUUAAUUGAAAAAAUAAAAAUUUGAGGGACUAAAUUAUGAAAUUGAUGGAAAAUAUGGACUUGUAUGUAUAUAGGGAGCAUUGGGCCUAAUUAGAAUGUAGCCAAAUUUUGUGUAUUUUGUGUUUUGUGCAAUAAGGACUAAAUUGUAAAAAUUUUAAAUGUUAGGGGUAAAAUGAUAAUUUACCUAUUUAUGUGUUUUUAGACUAGAUUGAAUGAAAAUAUGUUUGAAUGAUCUUAAUUUGAAUAUUUUUAGAUCAAGAACUAAAGAAAUCGGAUUUGGAUCGGGGAAAAACGAAAGUUGUCGACUAACUUCCCGAUUCCAUUUUGUAUCGUCCGAGGUAAGUUUAUAAGCAGAUAGACGUGUUUAUUUGGUAAUUAAAUAUUAUAUUUAUAUGCUGUUAUGAAGUGUGGAAUUUUAAUAUGCUAUGGCCGAAAAUGAUUAAAUUUUACUACUACACUUUCGAGUGCAAUUUGACCGAAUUACGACGUCCGGAAGCCCCGUAUGAACCUUAGGAAUAGCUAGGAUACAUAUUUCAUGACAUAGGAUUCCGGUAUAUGUGUGCGAGUAAGACCAUGGCAUCGAUAUGUGAUUUCGAUAUGUGUUUACGAGUAAGACCCUGUGUAGGACAAUGGCAUCGAUAUGUGGUUACAUGGAAGACCACGUCUGGGACGUUAGCAUUGUACGAUUUAUGUUAUUAUCCGAGUGUCCUAUCCAAUUCUGAAUGGUUCAUCGAGCAGUGAUAAGCUAUAUUUGAAUAUGUAAAAUGAGCCAUGUGACAGGUAUGAAUUAAAUUGUUACCAAGUCAAGGUAAUGACAGUAAAUAAUUAAUAUUCGAUAUAAUGACUUAUUGAAUGAGUAUGGAUGGUGAAAUUAUAUUAUAGUAAUCAAAAUUGGUAAGGAUAUACAUAAAUGAACUGUAAUUGUCUUCGAAUGAUAUGUGUUGUGGUUAUUAAUGGUACUAAUUACAUUCAGUCAUUUGGUUAAUGUAUAUAUAAUGAUAUAUAUUAUUAUACUUGAGUAGAAGUUAUGAAUAUAAGUGAAAUUGAUUGCUUAAUGAUAUUUUGGCUUUGUAAAUGAAGUAUUUAUUACUUGGGUUGAUUUCAUAAGCAUUCGGUCAAGGUGUGGAUUUUGUAUAAGAAUGAAAUAUCAUGAAUGAAUGUGGUGGGUUAAGAAUAAAUAUAUUCAUAUCGGAGUGGUUCGGUUAAAUUUAUUAUUGAGAUAGUUAUAUUAUUAGUUUGUUUAUUUGCUUAUAGCUUACUAAGCUAUAUUAGCUUAUCGUGUGAAUGUUUAUUUUUGUUUUAUAGAUUCUUUUUGGAAAGUCAAGUUACAAGCUCGGGGAUCAUCUGCGAAGCUCAUCACACUAUUUACUAUUUUAGGUACCUUUAUAGGUUAAAGUGUGUUUUGAGAUGGUAAAUUUUGGUUGUGUAUAAAGCCAUGCGAAAUUGGCUAAUUAAUAUGUUUGAAUUUAAAUAUGCUGGGCAUGGUCUAUGUUAAUUAUGGUUAUAAGUUGCAUGCUGUGUAUGCUCAUUAUAUAAGGUAAAUGUUGGAUGUUUGGACAAGGUGCAGUGGUUUUAAAAGGUUUGUGAUUGUUUUGACUAUGAUAAUUCAUAGGUGAAACAUGCUCAUGAACUUAGUAAAAAAAAUGUUUUUUUCAUUAUUUAAUAAGGUAAUACUUAUGGCUUGGCAUUUUUAUUUUUGAUUUUGAAAAGGGUUAAAGCUCAUAAUAAUAUAUUAUUUAUUUCGUAAAAUGUAAAUGUACGAAUGGUGUGUGGAUAAUUGUUUUCAUGAUUGGAUAGUUGAUCAACUUGAAUGAGGUAUUUUAUACAAUUGUAUUUCGGCAUGUAUGUUCAUGAAAAUUUCAGAAAUAGACUAUAUAUAUGAUUUAUUUAGUAGGAAUUCUAAUAUAUGAGAUGGGCAUAUAAUAUGUUGGAUUUAAUUAAAGUCAUGCAUGUGUACUUGCAUUUAAAUUUGAUUGCAGUAAUGAUGAUGUGAUACGCAUGAAUUUAGUAAUGCAUAUUACUAUAUCAAUCAAAUAGAAAUAUGUACGUUUAAAUUUUCAUGAGUGUGAUUACUUAUGUAAAUUUACUGGUCAUAUAUAUAUAAGUUCGCAAAUUUGUAUAAAUCAUUUAUAUUAGUCGAAUGGACUAGAAAAUGAAAUGAGUUUAUUUAUAACCAAAAGUUAAUAUUAUUUGGUAAUGAUGUGUGAUAUAUAUUAAAGAUUCGUAUAAAUUGUUAUUUUACUAGUGUCGCAUAUAUGAAAUUGUUCUUGUGAUAUGUAUAUAUAUAUAUAAGUUCGCAAAUUUGUAUAAAUCAUUUAUAUUAGUCGAAUGGACUAGAAAAUGAAAUGAGUUUAUUUAUAACCGAAAGUUAAUAUUAUUUGGAAAUGAUGUGUGAUAUAUAUAUUAAAGAUUCGUAUAAAUUGUUAUUUUACUAGUGUCGCAUAUAUGAAAUUGUUCUUGUGAUAUGUAUGCUAUUAAUGCAUGUGAACGAUAUACUCAAAUAUUACGAUGAUAUGAAAUGUUCAAAUUAAGAGUUGUAAUAGCUUUUGAUUUAAAUCUUAGUCAAUUUUUGAGAAAUAUUCAUGCGAUUAUAUAAAAUGUUUUAUUUAAUUGUUCAGAAUUGCAUUUUAUUCUGUAACGCCUUAUGAUCCUAUUCCGGCGACAGAUACUGAUUAAAGGUGUUACAAAGACCCUGUCUGGGACGGUGGCAUCGAUAUGUGAUAACAUGUAAGACCAUAUCUGGGAUAUGGCAUUGUACGAGCUAUACGUGAUUACCGAGUAUCCUUAACGAUUCCGAACGGUUCAACAGGCAAAGUCAAGUCAAGAAAGAAUGUAUGAAUGAGUUAAAUGACUUAAGUAUGUACGAGAUUAUAUAAGUAUUGAAAGGUAAAGUAAAUGAUGUAUGUGAUUAAAGUGUUGAAUAUAUGUUCAAUGAGAAAGGUUUGCGAUCUUGUAUGUGAUUAGCUAUGCUUAGCAUAUUUGAAUUUGAUGUGCAAAUGUUUAUAUGAUAAUUUUAUUUGUAUAUGGCUUACUAAGCUUUAAAAGCUUACUUGUGUGUUCUUUCCAUGUUUUAUAGAUUAUCGAAGCUAGCUCGGACUAGGGGAUCGUCGAGAAAUGUUAUCACACUAUCGAUCAUCUCGUUGGUACUUUUGAAGCAUUGUAUAUUGUAAUUUUGUUAUGUUUUGAGAUAUAGUAUAGCCAUAAGACUUGGCUUGUUUUUGUUGUAAAUGUUGGCAUGAAUUUGGCUAUUUAAAUUGGCUUAAGUAUGUGUUUGAUAAGUGAUAUAUGUGAUAUAUAUAUAAUGCCUUAUAUGUUGGCUUGAUU